GACGAACGCUGGCGGCGUGCCUAAUACAUGCAAGUUGAGCGCUGAAGGUUGGUACUUGUACCGACUGGCUGAGCAGCGAACGGGUGAGUAACGCGUGGGGAAUCUGCCUUUGAGCGGGGGACAACAUUUGGAAACGAAUGCUAAUACCGCAUAAAAACUUUAAACACAAGUUUUAAGUUUGAAAGAUGCAAUUGCAUCACUCAAAGAUGAUCCCGCGUUGUAUUAGCUAGUUGGUGAGGUAAAGGCUCACCAAGGCGAUGAUACAUAGCCGACCUGAGAGGGUGAUACGCCACAGUGGGAAUGAGACACGGCCCAAAAUCCUACGGGAGGCAGCAGUAGGGAAUCUUACGCAAUGGAGGAAAGUCUGAACGAGCAAAGCCGCGUGAGUGAAGAAGGGUUUCGGAUCGUAAAACACUGUUGGUAGAGAAGAACGUUGGUGAGAGUGGAAAGCUCAUCAAGUGACGGUAACUACCCAGAAAGGGACGGCUAACUACGUG
rnacentral:rRNA from 1 species